CCUCAACAGCAAAACAUAAACAAAAGCGCCUGUAUUCCGAGUCCGUAACCAGAUUCUGCCUGAUCUUGCUGUUGUUUCAUAUAGGAUGUAAGAAAAAAUGGGCUGCUCUCACAGUAAGAGACAAGCGUCGUCCAAGCCCCAACAAGUGAACGACGCUGGCGGACAUCACCAAGCAUCAGCUUUCGCCGUCCGGACGUCAGUUUCGUUGCCUUCCAGCCCGACGUUCCUAAGUACCCAGACAAGCUCUACUGAUUUUCCAAGGCGAUCCAACUAAGUGUACCUUUCGAAUAAAAGCACGACGAGAAGAUCCACCGAGAAUCUGCUUUAGAGCUCACAACGCACUUAGAGAAUCAGUGGACACGAGGUAGGAUA
rnacentral:misc_RNA from 1 species